AUUUAUAUAGUUUAAUAAAACCUUACAUUUUCAUUGUAAAAUUAGAUACCUUUUAUCUUAUAAAUA
rnacentral:tRNA from 1 species